rnacentral:lncRNA from 1 species
GACCAUCGAUUUCACUUGAGAAUGACGAAUACGGCAUUAAGAGAGAAAGACGGAGCAAGAAAAGAAAUGAUCCGGUGAAGCCGGUGCACAUUAGCGGCAUAACUACAGGUUUGAUGUUGAUUGAAGUUUUUUAAGCCAAAAUUAGGGUUGGUUAACUAGCGUUAUUUGAUAAGAACAAGCGUAAUUUUUGGUUGAUUCAUUGAUAUGUAGUAGCGGGAUUAGCAGGCUUAACAUUAGAUGAUGAUGAUUCUUUUGAAUGAACUAGCGGUAUUAGGUUACAUUGUGAAAUUGGGAAUUUUACCACUAGAUAUUGGGGCGUCUGAUCUAAUUGUGAAAUUGUAUCGUUUGAGCUAACAAAACGACAUUAGCAUGAUUGAUAUCUAAUAUUGAAUUAGGUUACAUUGUGAAUUGGGAAAUUUACAAGUUAAAAAUAUGAAACUUUUAAUAUUGGGGCUUCUGCGGUAAUUGUGAAAUUGGAGUUCUAGAGGUAACAAGCGGCAUUAGCAUGAUUGCUAUUACAUAUGUUAACAAGCGGCAUUAGCAUGAUUGCUAUUACAUAUGUUAACAAGCGGCAUUAGCAUGAUUCUUUGCUUGAU